rnacentral:sRNA from 1 species
UCGACGCGGAGGCGUGCCCCACGUGGCGUC